GAAGUCAAUUUUCCCUGUUGGAGAUUGAAAUGCAAACCUUAGGGACUUGACCUUAAAGGCUACAAAACAAAGAUCACUUACCCACUCAGUUUUUCUUCUGCCGCUUGGACUUUCACAUCAUUAAGUUUUAGGAAACUCUGCAUGAUUUCACUCUCAAGUAAGUUGGUUUCAGACUGUAAGUUUGUGCAUCUGGUAGCUGAACCUGGCUGUACUGAAGAGGUCUGGCCAGAGGAAAAUGUUGUAGAAGUCAAAUCUGGACAUUGUCUUCCCACUGAAUGCUUUUGAGUCUUCAGCAUGCUCCAGAGCCAUUCAGGUUGAGGUGCUCUGGAGCUUGACACCUCUCCUGCAGCACACCUUCAUGGUACUCUCCUUCCCACAGCGAAGGCUGCCCACCGCUCAGCCCACUCUGUAAACAUCACGCUUAGUUCUAUAUAUGGGAUAAAGUGUGGCUCACAUUGUUAUCUCCCAUAGCACUGUAGCAAAAGGCAGGAAGAAAGACACAGUUUUGACUCAGGAGGAACAUCAAAGAAGCUUUCAAUAGUCAGCUAUGAGACCUCUUUCCUCUAGGACUGAUCAGUCUGCAUAGGUUAGAGCUGGUACCACUGGAAUCAAAAGAUUUGGCCUGCUUAAGCGAAAGAGCAGAGCAGGUUGCCUCUUCCUCAUCCUGUAAAAUGUGAGGCUCAGGUAUGUACCAUGGGCUCUAUCCCUCAUCUCUUUGGCAUCUGAUACUCUGUUUUGAUUGCCUCAGGGAAGGCAACUGGGUCUUGCCUCUGGGUCUACUGACAACUCUCGUACUGGCUGGCAAUGCUAUCAAAAAUCUACAAACCAGAUGAGAAAUGGAAAGUGCAGAUGAUAUAUACAGGCUUAUCCAUGUCUUGGUGGUGAGUCAGAGGAUGGUCUGUGCUGCAGGUAUCCCUCAUGACAAAAGCUGAAGACAGGAUUCCCUUCUAAUAGGGAAGGAGCUCUGUCCUGGAAAGCAUCUGUUGGCAGCAAGAAAUAAGAGCUCUGCCAAUGCACUCACUUUUUAAAGAAUGGCAAAUGUCCAAACCAGAUUCUGCCACUUGAGGACAAGAUGAUAUCAAGUCAGUGGCAUAAACAGAUUGUGGCAUGAACAGAUUUUGUGAAGAUGGUAAACUGGAGAGUCUCUCAACAGAUGGGUAUCCACGAGACUUUUCCCCAGUGUUUCAACUGCACUGUUCUCAGAUUUCUACGCAGUGGGUUGAAAAUCAAGACUAGCUGGAGAGAGGACUUGGCAAGGGCAACCCAGAGGAGGCUGUCAAAAGGAAAUACAGACGCAGACCCAAGAUUCAGCCUUUUGAUUCACUUACCCCUGCACCUUCUUCUACUGUCAGUUGAGAGUCAUGGUCUUGACAUUCAGCACAGCUAAAGGAAAGACAGAGCUGCAGCAGUAGUGCUUCACCACCACCCAUGUAAAUAGGUGUGCUUCUCUAGAUCUGCACAUGAAAGAUCAGUACAUAAAGAAAACACUGUAGGUAACAGCAUUUGGGCAUAGCAAAGCCUCCUGCACAUAAUGUACUGCACACUGCGACUGCGCAUGGGGAAAAUGCCUUCUCUGGGAAUCUGCACGCAAGCUGCUUGCAAGAAAAAUGGGCAUGGAUCCACCAGUAAAGAACAGCAACAUGAUCACAAAAUGAAACUUCCACUGUGGAAAUGGAGGAUUGACAACAGUUCCCAUCAUGACCUUGAGUCCAUCAAGACCUCAGUGCUUCUGGGGGUUCGUCUGCCUGUGCUGAGGGCUAAGUCGGGGCAGCUGGUGACUUUUGAGGAGUGCUCUUCCAGACUGCUUGGUGGGAUGGCCUCACUAAGGGACCACUUUACUUGGGAACAGCAUUUAGCUGAGGCCAUGCCCUUGGCCCUCACUGGAGCUACACUCUGGCUGUGUUAUAGCCAUGUCUUGGCUUGGCCACACACCCUGUUGAUCUGGACUCUGACUAGCAGGCUGACUCCCCAUCUGCCCUGGGCCCAUUCUUGUCACUGUGGACCUACCUGGCAGUAUGCUCCAGUUAUGCUCACUGGGCCUGAUCCAGACCUUGACUUGCUGACUCAGCUUCCUGACCUGCUCUCAGACUUGCCUCAUCAUGAUGGGCUUGUCUGGUGAUCUGGAUGCGUGGAUGAACCUGGCUACUGUCCCCAGUAUGGCUCUGCUUGCCUGGCUCAGGUUGGGUGGGACUGCCGCUGCCUGCCUUGUGUUGAGGCUCAGCUCCUGGCUCCCUUUCCCUUGCUGAGAAGCUUACCUUGGCUGCUCCCUCGCAGUUGCAGGGACAAAAAAAGAACAGCGAAGAAAAGAGAAGGCGCCCAGGGCUAUUGGACAGAAGCAGGAGCAAAAAAAAGCAUCCCUUUUCUUCAUCAAGUGAUCCCAGAAAAAACACUUGCAGAUGCAUGGUCACAUUCAUCUAAAAAAUGAACUGACACAGGAAUUUAUUCCUAAUUUUAGAAGGUGAUCUGGGAUAGAAGUAAACUGUAUGGAAAAUAUUUUUGGUUUUUGAAGCAUGUACAUGUAUAUAUACUUAUACACACUUGGUUUUGAAUGGUUAAGUCAGUAUAAUACCACAUAAAAACUUUAUAUGAUGAUUCUUCUGACUGCUUAUUCUACUUUCCAUCUCUUCUACUGAAUACUGACUUGAAUAUCACACAAGCAUGAACCUAUACAGUCACUGUUUGGCUGUAGGUCACUCUGUGAAGAACUGGCCCUGAACCAACCACAUUGCUACUGAAAUUGCACCCAGGUUCCCUAGAGUGGCUCUACAGGGGACAGUCCUUGUGUGAAGCGUGAGGGGGAAUGAAGACUGCUAUGGCAGGUGGGCGAACACUACUGCAAAUUAUUCAUUCAGUCUCGAGCCUUCAGGAAGUCUCUGCCUGCUCCUAUAACUAGUUUCUUCCACAGUCCACUUGCCCAUGUUUGCCUGUUAUAAAAUUGUUUGUGUCUUGACUGUGUUAGGGGAAUUAUUUUUCACGUGUAUCAAUUCAGGCCCACCUGAAUCAGUAAAAUCCUGUUUUGCAUCUAAGGUUCCUAUAACCCUUAUGAAACCCAACCAAUCAAUAAUCCUUCUAAUUAAUGUAUGAUUAAGACUUUUGAUAUAAGGAUUGUUUCCUCUCAGUGUUGCCUGUGCUCAGCUGAGGGUACUAUUUGACCUCAUAUGUUUUUAUGGCUAUUGCAACAACAAAAGGCGUGAUGGAAUGUUAAAGCUUUAUGGAUUUAUUUUUAUUCCCUGUGCCUUUGUGGUACAGGUACUGUUACUCUUUGUGAAUGCUUAAAGUAAUAUAAAAUAUAUUAAUGUAAAUUUUUGAGUGUUUAGAGCAGCUAUCAA